UCCUCUCCUCUGUUCUAGCGAAGCUUAAUGCUUCACAAUCACUACUGUGACUUUAAAUACUUAUCAAACUAUUUUUCUCACUAACUCAGCUAUCACUUUUUUUCUUUUUCUUUUUUUUUUUUUGAGACAGAGUCUUGGUAUCUCCAGGCUGGAGGGCAGUGGCAGGAUCUCAUCUCACUUCAACCUCUGCUUCCCAGGUUCAAGCGAUUCCCCUGCCUCAGCCUCCUGAGUAGCUGGGACUACAGGCAUGUGCCACCACACCCAGCUAAUUUUUUGUAGUUUAGUAGAGAUGGGGUUUCACCAUGUUGGCCAGGAUGGUCUCGAUCUCCUGACCUGAUGAUCCACCCGCCUCAGCCUCCCAAAAUGUUGGGAUUACAGGUGUGAGCCACCGUGCCCAGCCUCAGCUAUCACUUUUAAAGAGAUUUUUGGUGAAUUCAUCUUUCUCCAACUUGUUACAUAAAUACAGGCCCUGAUCUGAAAUCUAAUGUAAGCUUUUCUCUGUGAUGUUGACAGUUCCUGUUUUGUGUUGCCAGAAGGAAAAGUGGGUUUGCCUGGGCAGUAUCAGGUCCUUCCACAGAAAGCGGCUUACAGUACUUCGGGCUCCAACUUGAAUUCUCUUAAACAAGGAAAUGUACGAGCUCAACAUCGUAAGAACUCUGAGAAUGAGGAGGCUCUGGGUUGGCUGAUUCAGCAGCUCAGUUAACUCACUAAGGACUCAUAUUUUCCCAUCUUCACGCUGACAUCUUUAAUGAGGACACUGAGGCACAGGAAGUCAAGAAACCUGCACAAAGCCAUGCAACAACCAGCCAGUAUCUGAGUCAUGACCAAAGCCCAGAGCCCAGUCUGCCUUCUUGUCUGAGGUCCUUUCGACAGCCUGCAUUGCUUAUCUUCUAGGACAAUCUGGCCCUAGGGAAGGAGGCCACCUGGACAGCACCAUGGCGACACAGAGGGCACCAGAUAUGGGAAAGUUUCUCUCUGAGACCAUGUUUGCUUCUGUUUCUCAAGCCAAGUUAAUUCUCUCCUAGAACAACGCCAGUUAGAAAUGGGGGAAGCUACUGAAAUACCUUUGGUGGCUUGUCUUGCAUCGAUAUUAUUUUCUCCCACUGAGGAGUUAGAGGGUUUCUGGUUAUGUGCUAUGUAAAUUCUUUGGCUCAUUCUUUUUUUUCCAUCCUUCCCUCCAUGGUCCAUCAGGAAAAUCAUGGUUAAAUGAGUGAGUAAAAGCUUAUGAUUUGCCCGUCCACGUCCCAACUUCCUUCUUCCUUUAGACCUUUUUGUGUGACAUGUAUUUUCUUUGACCCUGAUUUUUUAUUUAUAGCUUCUACUUUAUUGAAAGCACUCUUGUAAGCUGCCUCUAUUCCUUUGUGGAUUGAAACAGAGUGUAAGGAAAUAAAAUAUUAUCUUUUUUUCAGAAAAAGAACAUUUUGGAAAAUGAAAGUGUAUUUUCCGUGUUUGUUUUGUUUUGUGAUAGAAACAGAAGAUAAGGGAAGGAUUAUCCAAUUCUACAAGCUUUGUGCUCUGGGGAAUACAGGACUGAUGCUUGAUAUUAAAUGUAUGUGCUACAGUGUAAA